AGAAGGCACACCCGGAGAACUGAAACAUCUUAGUACCCGGAGGAAGAGAAAGAAAAUUCGAUUCCCUUAGUAGCGGCGAGCGAAACGGGAAGAGCCCAAACCAACAAGCUUGCUUGUUGGGGUUGUAGGACACUCUAUACGGAGUUACAAAGGACGACAUUAGACGAAUCAUCUGGAAAGAUGAAUCAAAGAAGGUAAUAAUCCUGUAGUCGAAAAUGUUGUCUCUCUUGAGUGGAUCCUGAGUACGACGGAGCACGUGAAAUUCCGUCGGAAUCUGGGAGGACCAUCUCCUAAGGCUAAAUACUCUCUAGUGACCGAUAGUGAACCAGUACCGUGAGGGAAAGGUGAAAAGCACCCCGGAAGGGGAGUGAAAUAGAACCUGAAACCGUGUGCUUACAAGUAGUCAGAGCCCGUUAAUGGGUGAUGGCGUGCCUUUUGUAGAAUGAACCGGCGAGUUACGAUUUGAUGCAAGGUUAAGCAGUAAAUGUGGAGCCGUAGCGAAAGCGAGUCUGAAUAGGGCGUUUAGUAUUUGGUCGUAGACCCGAAACCAGGUGAUCUACCCUUGGUCAGGUUGAAGUUCAGGUAACACUGAAUGGAGGACCGAACCGACUUACGUUGAAAAGUGAGCGGAUGAACUGAGGGUAGCGGAGAAAUUCCAAUCGAACCUGGAGAUAGCUGGUUCUCUCCGAAAUAGCUUUAGGGCUAGCCUCAAGUGAUGAUUAUUGGAGGUAGAGCACUGUUUGGACGAGGGGCCCCUCUCGGGUUACCGAAUUCAGACAAACUCCGAAUGCCAAUUAAUUUAACUUGGGAGUCAGAACAUGGGUGAUAAGGUCCGUGUUCGAAAGGGAAACAGCCCAGACCACCAGCUAAGGUCCCAAAAUAUAUGUUAAGUGGAAAAGGAUGUGGCGUUGCCCAGACAACUAGGAUGUUGGCUUAGAAGCAGCCAUCAUUUAAAGAGUGCGUAAUAGCUCACUAGUCGAGUGACACUGCGCCGAAAAUGUACCGGGGCUAAACAUAUUACCGAAGCUGUGGAUUGUCCUUUGGACAAUGGUAGGAGAGCGUUCUAAGGGCGUUGAAGCAUGAUCGUAAGGACAUGUGGAGCGCUUAGAAGUGAGAAUGCCGGUGUGAGUAGCGAAAGACGGGUGAGAAUCCCGUCCACCGAUUGACUAAGGUUUCCAGAGGAAGGCUCGUCCGCUCUGGGUUAGUCGGGUCCUAAGCUGAGGCCGACAGGCGUAGGCGAUGGAUAACAGGUUGAUAUUCCUGUACCACCUAUAAUCGUUUUAAUCGAUGGGGGGACGCAGUAGGAUAGGCGAAGCGUGCGAUUGGAUUGCACGUCUAAGCAGUAAGGCUGAGUAUUAGGCAAAUCCGGUACUCGUUAAGGCUGAGCUGUGAUGGGGAGAAGACAUUGNGUCUUCGAGUCGUUGAUUUCACACUGCCGAGAAAAGCCUCUAGAUAGAAAAUAGGUGCCCGUACCGCAAACCGACACAGGUAGUCAAGAUGAGAAUUCUAAGGUGAGCGAGCGAACUCUCGUUAAGGAACUCGGCAAAAUGACCCCGUAACUUCGGGAGAAGGGGUGCUCUUUAGGGUUAACGCCCAGAAGAGCCGCAGUGAAUAGGCCCAAGCGACUGUUUAUCAAAAACACAGGUCUCUGCUAAACCGUAAGGUGAUGUAUAGGGGCUGACGCCUGCCCGGUGCUGGAAGGUUAAGAGGAGUGGUUAGCUUCUGCGAAGCUACGAAUCGAAGCCCCAGUAAACGGCGGCCGUAACUAUAACGGUCCUAAGGUAGCGAAAUUCCUUGUCGGGUAAGUUCCGACCCGCACGAAAGGCGUAACGAUUUGGGCACUGUCUCAACGAGAGACUCGGUGAAAUCAUAGUACCUGUGAAGAUGCAGGUUACCCGCGACAGGACGGAAAGACCCCGUGGAGCUUUACUGUAGCCUGAUAUUGAAAUUCGGCACAGCUUGUACAGGAUAGGUAGGAGCCUUUGAAACGUGAGCGCUAGCUUACGUGGAGGCGCUGGUGGGAUACUACCCUAGCUGUGUUGGCUUUCUAACCCGCACCACUUAUCGUGGUGGGAGACAGUGUCAGGCGGGCAGUUUGACUGGGGCGGUCGCCUCCUAAAAGGUAACGGAGGCGCUCAAAGGUUCCCUCAGAAUGGUUGGAAAUCAUUCAUAGAGUGUAAAGGCAUAAGGGAGCUUGACUGCGAGACCUACAAGUCGAGCAGGGUCGAAAGACGGACUUAGUGAUCCGGUGGUUCCGCAUGGAAGGGCCAUCGCUCAACGGAUAAAAGCUACCCCGGGGAUAACAGGCUUAUCUCCCCCAAGAGUUCACAUCGACGGGGAGGUUUGGCACCUCGAUGUCGGCUCAUCGCAUCCUGGGGCUGUAGUCGGUCCCAAGGGUUGGGCUGUUCGCCCAUUAAAGCGGUACGCGAGCUGGGUUCAGAACGUCGUGAGACAGUUCGGUCCCUAUCCGUCGUGGGCGUAGGAAAUUUGAGAGGAGCUGUCCUUAGUACGAGAGGACCGGGAUGGACAUACCUCUGGUGUACCAGUUGUCGUGCCAACGGCAUAGCUGGGUAGCUAUGUGUGGACGGGAUAAGUGCUGAAAGCAUCUAAGCAUGAAGCCCCCCUCAAGAUGAGAUUUCCCAACUUCGGUUAUAAGAUCCCUCAAAGAUGAUGAGGUUAAUAGGUUCGAGGUGGAAGCAUGGUGACAUGUGGAGCUGACGAAUACUAAUCGAUCGAAGACUUAAUCAA
rnacentral:rRNA from 1 species